AGAGGUAAGAAGCCUAUUCUUGACUUCUAAUCAUAGAAUAAAGUGUUUUAGCUUGCACUUUUACCUUUU
rnacentral:tRNA from 1 species